UACGAAGGGGACUAGCGUUGUUCGGAAUUACUGGGCGUAAAGCGCGCGUAGGCGGAUCGCUAAGUCAGGGGUGAAAUCCCAAGGCUCAACCUUGGAACUGCCUUUGAUACUGACGAUCUGGAGAUCGGGAGAGGUGAGUGGAAUUCCGAGUGUAGAGGUGAAAUUCGUAGAUAUUCGGAGGAACACCAGAAGCGAAGGCGGCUCACUGGCCCGAUACUGACGCUGAGGCGCGAAAGCGUGGGGAGCAAACAGG
rnacentral:rRNA from 1 species